rnacentral:tRNA from 1 species
GGUGGUUCAGUGGUAGAAUUCUCGCCUGCCACGCGGGCGGCCCGGGUUCGAUUCCCGUCAGAUGCA